rnacentral:rRNA from 1 species
UGGCUCAGGAUGAACGCUAGCUACAGGCUUAACACAUGCAAGUCGAGGGGCAGCAUGGUCUUAGCUUGCUAAGACUGAUGGCGACCGGCGCACGGGUGAGUAACGCGUAUCCAACCUGGCCCGCAGUAGGGAACAGCCCGGCGAAAGUCGGAUUAAUGCCCUAUGUCUUCCUUUGCAGGCAUCCAAUGAGGAAGAAAGAUUUAUCGCUGCGGGAUGGGGAUGCGUCUGAUUAGCUUGUCGGCGGGGUAACGGCCCACCGAGGCGACGAUCAGUAGGGGUUCUGAGAGGAAGGUCCCCCACACUGGUACUGAGACACGGACUAGACUCCUACGGGAGGCAGCAGUGAGGAAUAUUGGUCAAUGGGCGAGAGCCUGAACCAGCCAAGUAGCGUGCAAGGACGACUGCCCUAUGGGUUGUAAACUGCUUUUAUGCGGGGAUAAACUUCAGCACGUGUGCUGUUUUGCAGGUACCGCAUGAAUAAGGACCGGCUAAUUCCGUGCCAGCCGCGGC